UAAAGAAGAAGAAGAAGGGGAACACACGAAGAGAAGAGAUUGGAGUGGGCGAGGACGAGGGGAGCUUAGACUCGACUGGGUGAGAUGAGGUGGUGAGUCGUUCGACAUGGGUGCUCUCGCGCGCUGGUGCGUAUGGCAGCCAUCGGGUGAGACGACGCGCUGGAGGCUUUGCUUCGCGGUCUAAACUAAUGGAGCGGCAGGCUCCUCCAGCGUCGAGCUGGCCGCGGCCCGUGUUGGACUAACCUAGCCUAGGCACCUGGAACCGUAUCCAGUAAGACCAAGAACCUCCAAUAACGAUCGGGUAGAGCUUAAUCUAUACCUCCAUCUCUUCUUCAGCUUCCUACUCAAUGUAGAGUUCUAAUUCUCAUUCCUGUUCAGGAGCCACUUACUCCUCCUGCUCUUCCUCUAGCUCUAUCUUUAGCUGCGGUUCCAACACCUCUUCCUUCUCCACAGGUCACUACCAAGUUUCAGACGUCCGUUUCAAUUCCUUUGGUUUUUUCUUCCCUUUUUGUUCAGUCUCUUCGUACAUCUACUUGUACUUCUGCUAGUCUUCCGCUCAUUCUUCUUCCUUUUAUUCCGUCUCUUUGUACUUCUACCAUUCUUCCUUUUCUUCAAUCUCUUCGUACUUCUACUGCCCUUCUGAUCAUUCUUCCUAUCUUUCCUCUUCCUACUCUUUUUCUUUCUUCUACCGCUUCCGAGUCUUUUCCUCUUCCGGUUCUUUCCCUUUCUAUUCUUCUCGCUCUCGUUUCUCUUCCUAUUUUAAUCGCAGUUCCUCUGACCUCGACUACGUCUACUGUCAUCGGGGUUCUUGUUUUUCUUCCUAUUCCUGUUCCGUUUCUUCUUCCUACUUUCGCUACUUUUUGUUCUCUUUCUGUUUCUCUUCCUCCUUGUACUCUUGUUCUUCUUCGUACAUCUUCACCCAGUCCGUUCUCUUUAGUUCGAUGUUCUAUUACUCAGCCGCUUCUUUCUUUGACUACGAAGACUUCUCUUCUUCCUACCGUGCCUGUUUCGUUUCCUAUUUUCUUUCUCUCUGUCACGCUUCUUCGUUCUACUUGUAUUCCUUUAGCCACUGUUCCUGCUUGUUCCAUUGUUCUUUCUAUGUCUCUUCUUCCUGUUCUUCUUUCUAUUUUGGCUGUUCUUCCCCCUUCCGUUCUUCUUCCUACCGCUACUACUCUUCCUUCUUCCAUUCUUCCUGUUUCUUCGCUUCCUCUUCUUCUUUCUAUUCUGGCUGUUCCUUCUUUGAUUCUUCUUUUUCUUCCUACCACUCCUACCCCUCCUUCUUCCAUUCUUCUUUCUGUUUCUCUUCUUCUUUCUGUUCCCGCCGUUCCUCUUCUGGCUGCUAGGUCGUUUCGAAUUCUUCUUCGACCUCUUCUAGCUGCGUUUCAAUGUUCUGGAUGUACGACUUUUCCUUCUGUAGGAUUCCGUCGACUUCCUCGAGCUUCUCCCUUACUGGUGACUUCUCUUCUUCGGACAUGUCUAUCACCUUCGCUCACCGUUCCGGUUCAGGUUCCUUCUACUAGAACAAUGACGUGGGACUAGAAGACCUUUAGAAACUGAACAACUGUGAACGACACUAGAAUACCAACAUUGCGCUUAUUAAAGACUAGACCCAUGCACGUGUGCAAAGACACACGCCAUGUCUUGAGAGAGAUAUAUGUAUAUGUCGAACUCACAUUGUUAUAUUUGCGGGUCUUUUUAUUUUACUUGGGUAACUUGUACAAACGAGGGGACCAGGAAAGCAAUACGUAGACGAUUGUACAAGAAACAUCGACCUUAAGGCGACGUAUAGAGAUGGGCCACCAUCACGUCAGCCUGAGCCGACUUCGAGAAAGUCAAGAUAGAUCGUU
rnacentral:rRNA from 1 species